GAUGAACGCUGGCGGCGUGCUUAACACAUGCAAGUCGAACGGAAAGGCUCCUGCUUGCAGGGGUACUCGAGUGGCGAACGGGUGAGUAACACGUGGGUGAUCUGCCCUGCACUUCGGGAUAAGCCUGGGAAACUGGGCCUACUACCGGAUAGGACGAUGGUUUGGAUGCCAUUGUGGAAAGUUUUUCGGUGUGGGAUGAGCUAGCGGCCUAUCGGCUUGUUGGUGGGGUAAUGGCCUACCAAGGCGUCGACGGGUAGCCGGCCUGAGAGGGUGGACGGCCACCUUGGGACUGAGAUACGGCCCAGACGCCUACGGGAGGCAGCAGUGGGGAAUAUUGCACAAUGGGCGCAAGCCUGAUGCAGCGACGCCGCGUGGGGGAUGACGGCCUUCGGGUUGUAAACUCCUUUCGCUAGGGACGAAGCGCAAGUGACGGUACCUGGAGAAGAAGCACCGGCUAACUACGUG
rnacentral:rRNA from 1 species